GACGAACGCUGGCGGCGUGCUUAACACAUGCAAGUCGAACGGAAAGGCCCUGCUUGCAGGGUACUCGAGUGGCGAACGGGUGAGUAACACGUGGGUGAUCUGCCCUGCACUUCGGGAUAAGCCUGGGAAACUGGGUCUAAUACCGGAUAGGAGCCAUCUUUAGUGUGAUGGUUGGAAAGUUUUUUCGGUGUAGGAUGAGCUCGCGGCCUAUCAGCUUGGUGGUGGGGGAAUGGCCUACCAAGGCGGCGACGGGUAGCCGGCCUGAGAGGGUGGACGGCCCAAUUGGGACUGAGGUACGGCCCAGACUCCCACGGGAGGCAGCAGGGGGGAAUAUUGCACAAUGGGCGCAAGCCUGAUGCAGCGACGCCGCGUGGGGGAUGACGGCCUUCGGGUUGGAAACUCCUUUCGCUAGGGACGAAGCUUUUUGUGACGGUACCUAGAAAAGAAGCACCGGCUAACUACGUG
rnacentral:rRNA from 1 species